CAAAAACACUACUUAUCAUACGAUCACCGAAGUUAAGCAACGUCGAGACAGGUCAGUACCUAGAUGGGUGUCCGUUUGGGAAUACCUGGUGCCGUAAG